AUUGAACGCUGGCGGCAUGCCUAACACAUGCAAGUCGAGCGGAUGAAGGGGGCGUGCUCCUGUAUUCAGCUGCGGACGGGUGGGUAAUUCCUAGGAAUCUACCUGAUAUUUAAGGCUAACGUCCGGAAACGGACGCUAAUACCGCAUACGACCAUAUUUUGAAAGUGAUGGAUCUUCAGACAUCACGCUAUCUGCUGAGCCUAAGUUGUAUUAGCUAGUUGGUUUGGUAACGGCUUACCAAGGCGACGAUCCGUAGCUGGUCUGAGAGGAUGAUCAGGCACACUGGAACUGAGACACGGUCCAGACUCCUACGGGAGGCAGCAGUGGGGAAUCUUGGACAAUGGGCGAAAGCCUGAUCCAGCCACGCCGCGUGUGUGAAGAAGGUCUUCGGAUCGUAAAGCACUUUUAGUUGGGAGGAAGGGAAGUAAGUUAAUACGUUGAUGUUUUGACGUUACCAACAGAAUAAGCCCCGGCUAACUUCGUG
rnacentral:rRNA from 1 species